UACGUAGGGGGCAAGCGUUGUCCGGAAUUAUUGGGCGUAAAGAGCGCGUAGGCGGUCCGAUAAGUCGGCUGUGAAAGUCCAGGGCUCAACCCUGGAAUGCCGGUGGAAACUGUCGAGCUAGAGUCCGGAAGAGGCGAGUGGAAUUCCUGGUGUAGCGGUGAAAUGCGCAGAUAUCAGGAGGAACACCAAUGGCGAAGGCAGCUCGCUGGGACGGUACUGACGCUGAGACGCGAAAGCGUGGGGAGCAAACAGG
rnacentral:rRNA from 1 species